UACGUAGGGUGCGAGCGUUAAUCGGAAUUACUGGGCGUAAAGUGUGCGCAGGCGGCGUCGCAAGUCGAGUGUGAAAUCCCCGGGCUUAACUUGGGAAUUGCGCUCGAAACUACGAUGCUGGAGUGUGGCAGAGGAAGGUGGAAUUCCACGUGUAGCGGUGAAAUGCGUAGAGAUGUGGAGGAACACCGAUGGCGAAGGCAGCCUUCUGGGCCAACACUGACGCUCAUGCACGAAAGCGUGGGGAGCAAACAGGAUUAGAAACCCUUGUAGUCC
rnacentral:rRNA from 1 species